rnacentral:rRNA from 1 species
GAUGAACGCUGGCGGCAUGCCUAAUACAUGCGAGUCGAGCGAACAGACGAGGAUCUUGCUCCUCUUACGUUACCGACGGACGGGUGAGUAACACGUGUCUAACCUACCUAUAAGACUGGGAUAACUUCGGGAAAGCUGAGCUCAUACCCGAUAAUAUAUUGAACCGCAUGGUUCAUUAGUGAAAAACGGUUUUGCUGUCACUUAUACAUGUAUCCUCGCCGGAUUAGCUAGUUGGUAAGGUAACGGCUUACCAAGGCAACGAUGCGUAGCCGACCUGAGAGGGUGAUCGGCCACACUGGAACUGAGACACGGUCCAGACUCCUACGGGAGGCAGCAGUAGGGAAUCUUCCGCAAUGGGCGAAAGCCUGACGGAGCAAUGCCGCGUGAGUGAUGAAGGUCUUCGGAUCGUAAAACUCUGUUAUUAGGGAAGAAGAAAAGUGUAAGUAAAUAUGGCCGUCUUGACGGUACCUAAUCAGAAAGCCACGGCUAACUACGUG